CGGGUAGUCGUAGAGUUGAUCAUGGCUCAGGUGCGGUGGGAACACCUCUUUAAAGUUUUAGCGGCGGACGGGUGAGUAAGACGUGGGUAAAUGCCCAUAAGACUGGGAUAACUCCGGGAAACCGGGGCUAAUACCGGAUAACAUUUUGAACCGCAUGGUUCGAAAUUGAAAGGCGGCUUCGGCUGUCACUUAUGGAUGGACCCGCGUCGCAUUAGCUAGUUGGUGAGGUAACGGCUCACCAAGGCAACGAUGCGUAGCCGACCUGAGAGGGUGAUCGGCCACACUGGGACUGAGACACGGCCCAGACUCCUACGGGAGGCAGCAGUAGGGAAUCUUCCGCAAUGGACGAAAGUCUGACGGAGCAACGCCGCGUGAGUGAUGAAGGCUUUCGGGUCGUAAAACUCUGUUGUUAGGGAAGAACAAGUGCUAGUUGAAUAAGCUGGCACCUUGACGGUACCUAACCAGAAAGCCACGGCUAACUACGUGCCAGCAGCCGCGGUAAUACGUAGGUGGCAAGCGUUAUCCGGAAUUAUUGGGCGUAAAGCGCGCGCAGGUGGUUUCUUAAGUCUGAUGUGAAAGCCCACGGCUCAACCGUGGAGGGUCAUUGGAAACUGGGAGACUUGAGUGCAGAAGAGGAAAGUGGAAUUCCAUGUGUAGCGGUGAAAUGCGUAGAGAUAUGGAGGAACACCAGUGGCGAAGGCGACUUUCUGGUCUGUAACUGACACUGAUGCGCGGACAGCGUGGGGAGCAACAGGAUUAGAUACCCAUGGUAGUCCACGCCGUCAACGAUGGAGUGCUAAGCUGUUAGAGAGUUUCCUGCCUUCAUGCUGAAAGUUAACGCAAUUACGUCACUUCCGGCCUGGGGAGUACGACUGUCAAGCUGAAACCUCAAGGUAUUGGACGGGACUCGCCCUAUCGAUUGGAGAGCAAGUGCUG
rnacentral:rRNA from 1 species